AGGGUCAUUGGAAACUGGGGAACUUGAGUGCAGAAGAGGAGAGUGGAAUUCCACGUGUAGCGGUGAAAUGCGAUAGAGAUGUGGAGGAACACCAGUGGCGAAGGCGACUCUCUGGUCUGUAACUGACGCUGAGGAGCGAAAGCGUGGGGAGCGAACAGGAUUAGAUACCCUGGUAGUCCACGCCGUAAACGAUGAGUGCUAAGUGUUAGGGGGUUUCCGCCCCUUAGUGCUGCAGCUAACGCAUUAAGCACUCCGCCUGGGGAGUACGGUCGCAAGACUGAAACUCAAAGGAAUUGACGGGGGCCCGCACAAGCGGUGGAGCAUGUGGUUUAAUUCGAAGCAACGCGAAGAACCUUACCAGGUCUUGACAUCCUCUGACAAUCCUAGAGAUAGGACGUCCCCUUCGGGGGCAGAGUGACAGGUGGUGCAUGGUUGUCGUCAGCUCGUGUCGUGAGAUGUUGGGUUAAGUCCCGCAACGAGCGCAACCCUUGAUCUUAGUUGCCAGCAUUCAGUUGGGCACUCUAAGGUGACUGCCGGUGACAAACCGGAGGAAGGUGGGGAUGACGUCAAAUCAUCAUGCCCCUUAUGACCUGGGCUACACACGUGCUACAAUGGACAGAACAAAGGGCAGCGAAACCGCGAGGUUAAGCCAAUCCCACAAAUCUGUUCUCAGUUCGGAUCGCAGUCUGCAACUCGACUGCGUGAAGCUGGAAUCGCUAGUAAUCGCGGAUCAGCAUGCCGCGG
rnacentral:rRNA from 1 species